rnacentral:misc_RNA from 1 species
GGAUAAAGGGAAAGUGAAUCAUCGAAUCUUUGAACGCACAUUGCGCCCGCCAGUAUUCUGGCGGGCAUGCCUGUUCGAGCGUCAUUUCAACCAUCAAGCCCCCGGCUUGUGUUGGGGACCUGCGGCUGCCCGCAGGCCCUGAAAACCAGUGGCGGGCUCGCUGUCACUCCGAGCGUAGUAGCAUUAUCUCGCUCAGGGCGUGCUGCGGGUUCCGGCCGUUAAAAAGCCUUCAUAACCCAAGGUUGACCUCGGAUCAGGUAGGAAGACCCGCUGAACUUAAGCAUAUCAAUAAGCGGAGGA